rnacentral:rRNA from 1 species
UACGUAGGUGGCGAGCGUUGUCCGGAUUUACUGGGCGUAAAGAGCGCGCAGGCGGUCGUUCAAGUCGCGUGUGAAAGCCCCCCGGCUCAACUGGGGAGGGUCACGCGAUACUGAUCGACUCGAAGACAGGAGAGGGAAGUGGAAUUCCCGGUGUAGUGGUGAAAUGCGUAGAUAUCGGGGAGGAACACCAGUGGCGAAGGCGACUUCCUGGCCUGUUCUUGACGCUGAGGCGCGAAAGCUAGGGGAGCAAACGGG